rnacentral:lncRNA from 1 species
UGUCUAAAUUGCCUACCUUUGUCAGCUAUCACCACACUAUUGAGUGAGUUCCAUUAUUCUUUUUCUUUCGUAAUUUUUACCUGUAAAUGUCUCUGUCACUAAAAUUUCCUCUGUCCGGCAGCAUGAAAGUCCUCAGAAAUAGCGAAAUGGGUAAAAAUUCAUCUAAAAUAGUAAAUUCUCGAGGUAUGGAGUAGUAACUAUUUGGAGAUGUAAACACAUUAUAAAGAGAAAGAAUUCUCGAGGUAUGGUGUUUGCGGAUCAAUUGACAAGUUUAGGACUAGACAAAAAAGAUUGUGAAUGUUAUACCUAUAGAAUAUUAUUUCGGCACAGGAAUGUUAGGUGAAAGGGACAAGAGAGUGAGGGGGCACAGUGUUUAAGGAGAUGAGAAUGGUAUGAUGAAAUUCUUGGCUUCAUGUAGUUUCGAGAAUGCUGUUUCUGCAAAUUGCAGCAUAGUCUCUAGCUCCGCUAGUUGGUAUGGUCAAUUUUAGGCUUGGAUACGAUCGAACUUGGGUCAAACUGAGGAACGGAAGGUGCAUAAUUCUUGUGAUUUUAUUUUUAGCAGUUCUAUGUGGACAUCAUCAUUUAUAAAUUGGAAUAUGCUAAUUUAUACAUGAUGCGGUGUUCAUACAUUUUAGUCGAAGUGGAUCUCUCUAUGUGAGUGGGGUGAAAAUUGUUUUAGACACCUGAUGUGCUCC